rnacentral:rRNA from 1 species
UAGAGUGGCGUACGGGUGAGUAACACGUGACUAACCUUCCUUCGAGUGGGGAAUAACCUCGGGAAACCAGGGCUAAUACCGCAUAACAUCCUAGGGUGAAACUCCUUAGGAUCAAAGGGGUAAGACGCUUGAAGAGGGGGUCGCGGCUGAUUAGUUAGUUGGCGGGGUAAUGGCCCACCAAGACGAUGAUCAGUAUCCGGCCUGAGAGGGCGCACGGACACACUGGAACUGAAACACGGUCCAGACUCCUACGGGAGGCAGCAGUGGGGAAUUUUGCGCAAUGGGGGAAACCCUGACGCAGCAACGCCGCGUGGAGGAUGAAGUCCCUUGGGAUGUAAACUCCUUUCGACUGGGAAGAAACUGACGGUACCAGUAGAAGAAGCCCCGGCUAACUUCGUGCCAGCAGCCGCGGUAAUACGAGGGGGGCAAGCGUUGUUCGGAAUUAUUGGGCGUAAAGGGUGCGUAGGCUG